rnacentral:rRNA from 1 species
UACGCAGGGGGCUAGCGUUGCUCGGAAUCACUGGGCGUAAAGCGCACGUAGGCGGACUCUUAAGUCAGGGGUGAAAUCCUGGAGCUCAACUCCAGAACUGCCUUUGAUACUGGGAGUCUUGAGUUCGGGAGAGGUGAGUGGAACUGCGAGUGUAGAGGUGAAAUUCGUAGAUAUUCGCAAGAACACCAGUGGCGAAGGCGGCUCACUGGCCCGAUACUGACGCUGAGGUGCGAAAGCGUGGGGAGCAAACAGG